UUCGGGACCCAUCAAGACUUGGUUCGGUUUGGAUCGUUCGAGACCCAUCAAGACUUGGUUUGGGUCGUUCAGGACCCAUUAAGGCUUGGUUUGAGUUGGGCGACUUCAAGUUUGUUUGGUCAUUUUGGAUUUGGUUGUUUAGUUUAGCGACUUUACGGUCGUUUGAAUUGUUUAGUUUAACGACCUUUCGGUCAUUUGAAUUGUUUAGUUUAACGACUUUUCGGUCGUUUGAAUUGUUUAGUUUAACGACUUUUCGGUCGUCGGCUUUAUUUGUAGGCUUUGGAUUUUGGAUUUUAUUAGUGGACUUUGGGUUUUGGGUUUUGAGUUUUGAGUUUGUGGAUUUUGGGUUUUUGGGUUUUUAUUUGUGGACUUUGGGUUUUGGAUUUUGAGUUUGUGGACUUUGGGUUUGGGUUGAACCGUUAUGCUUUGGUUCGGGAUCUAUUCAGACUUGGUUUGAAUUAGAUUCUUCAUAGUUUGG
rnacentral:lncRNA from 1 species